rnacentral:rRNA from 1 species
GAUGAACGCUGGCUACAGGCUUAACACAUGCAAGUCGAGGGGAAACGACGGGGAAGCUUGCUUCCCCGGGCGUCGACCGGCGCACGGGUGAGUAACGCGUAUCCAACCUGCCUCUGACUGAGGGAUAACCCGUCGAAAGUCGGCCGAAUACCUCAUGGCAUCGUCUGCGGGCAUCCAACGACGAUUAAAGAUUUCAUCGGUCAGAGAUGGGGAUGCGUCUGAUUAGCUUGUUGGCGGGGUAACGGCCCACCAAGGCGACGAUCAGUAGGGGUUCUGAGAGGAAGGUCCACCACAUUGGAACUGAGACACGGUCCAAACUCCUACGGGAGGCAGCAGUGAGGAAUAUUGGUCAAUGGGCGAGAGCCUGAACCAGCCAAGUAGCGUGCAGGAUGACGGCCCUAUGGGUUGUAAACUGCUUUUAUGCGGGGAUAAAGUGAGGGACGUGUCCUUCAUUGCAGGUACCGCAUGAAUAAGGACCGGCUAAUUCCGUG